rnacentral:rRNA from 1 species
CCUACGGGUGGCAGCAGUGGGGGAUAUUGCACAAUGGGGGAAACCCUGAUGCAGCGACGCCGCGUGUGGGAAAACGGUCCUCUGGAUUGUAAACCACUGUCCCCAGGGACUAAGAUCACGGUACCUGGGCAGGAAGCUCCUGCUAACUACGUGCCAGCCGCCGCGGUAAUACGUAGCGAGCGCGCGUUGUCCGAAAUUACGGGGUGUAACGGGAGCGUUGGCGGGGAUGAAAGUUGGGUGUAAAAACUAACGGCUAAACUGGGAGUCGCACUCAAAACUGCAGCUCUUGAGUGAAGUAGAGGCAGGCGGAAUGCAUGGUGUAGCGGUGAAAUGCGUAGAGAUUAGGAGGAACACCAGUGGCGAAGGCGGCCUGCUGGGCUUUUACUGACGCUGAGGCUCGAAAGUGUGGGGAGCAAACAGGAUUAGAUACCCUUGUAGUC